UGAAGGGCAGAGGCUGCAGGUCGGGACUGAGGGGCACCAUGGGGCAGGCUGUGGGGCAGGGCCGUGGGCUGUCAGUCUGGGCUGAGGGGCAGAGGCUGUGGGUCGGGACUGAGGGGCGCCAUGGGGCAGGCUGUGGGGCAGGGCCGUGGGCUGUCAGUCUGGGCUGAGGGGCAGAGGCUGCAGGUCAGGACUGAGGGGCACCAUGGGGCAGGCUGUGGGGCAGGG